GCCUCCAUUCGCUCCGCGGGUGGCCUUCAUGGUGAACAAAACACAUGACCCCGAGUACCCGAGGCGGAAGGUGUCCGGCAUCAGUGCUCAGAAAGUUGUUCCACCUUCCACCA